rnacentral:rRNA from 1 species
AGCCUUCCUUCGGGGAGGUGGAGACUGGCGCACGGGUGAGUAACGCGUGGGGAUUUACCCCGGGGUGGGGAAUAACCGCUGGAAACGGCGGCUAAUACCGCAUACGUCCGAGAGGAGAAAGUCUUAGGGCGCCCUGGGAGGAACCCGCGUUGGAUUAGCUAGUUGGUGGGGUAAAAGCCUACCAAGGCGACGAUCCAUAGCUGGUCUGAGAGGAUGAUCAGCCACACUGGGACUGAGACACGGCCCAGACUCCUACGGGAGGCAGCAGUGGGGAAUAUUGGACAAUGGGCGCAAGCCUGAUCCAGCCAUGCCGCGUGAGUGAAGAAGGCCUUAGGGUUGUAAAACUCUUUCACCCGUGAAGAUGAUGACGGUAGCGGGAGAAGAAGCCCCGGCUAACUCCGUGCCAGCAGCCGCGGUAAUACGGAGGGGGCAAGCGUUGUUCGGAUUUACUGGGCGUAAAGGGCGCGUAGGCGGGCGAUCAAGUCAGGGGUGAAAGGCCUGGGCUCAACCUAGGAACUGCCUUUGAAACUGAUUGUCUUGAGUCCGGGAGAGGAUAGCGGAAUUCCCAGUGUAGAGGUGAAAUUCGUAGAUAUUGGGGAAGAACACCGGUGGCGAAAGGCGGCUAUCUGGACCGGCACUGACGCCUGAGGCGCGAAAGCGUGGGGGAGCAAACAGGAUUAGGAU